AAUAGAUACCCAGGUAGUCCAUGCCGUAAACGAUGUCUACUAGCCGUUGGGGCCUUUGAGGCUUUAGUGGCGCAGCUAACGCGAUAAGUAGACCGCCUGGGGAGUACGGUCGCAAGACUAAAACUCAAAUGAAUUGACGGGGGCCCGCACAAGCGGUGGAGCAUGUGGUUUAAUUCGAUGCAACGCGAAGAACCUUACCUGGUCUUGACAUAGUAAGAACUUUCCAGAGAUGGAUUGGUGCCUUCGGGAACUUACAUACAGGUGCUGCAUGGCUGUCGUCAGCUCGUGUCGUGAGAUGUUGGGUUAAGUCCCGCAACGAGCGCAACCCUUUUCCUUAUUUGCCAGCGGGUUAAGCCGGGAACUUUAAGGAUACUGCCAGUGACAAACUGGAGGAAGGCGGGGACGACGUCAAGUCAUCAUGGCCCUUACGACCAGGGCUACACACGUGCUACAAUGGUCGGUACAAAGGGUUGCUACCUAGCGAUAGGAUGCUAAUCUCAAAAAGCCGAUCGUAGUCCGGAUUGGAGUCUGCAACUCGACU
rnacentral:rRNA from 1 species